GGAUGUGAGGGUGAUCUGGCUGUGACAUCUGUCACCCCAUUGAUCACCAGGUUGAUCUGGCUGGCUAGGCGGGUGUCUCCUUCCUCCCUCACUGCUCCAUGUGUGUCCCUCCCGAAGCUGCAUGCUCGGUUGAAGAGGAUGACUAUCCUCGUUAGAGUAGGACCAUUCUUUGGUCAAGUCUAUAUGAGUAGCUGUACUCCCUUGCUAGAACCUCCAAACAAGCUCUCGAGAGAAGGGGGCAGAGACCCUGCAGGCAAAUAGGAUUUAGCUAGAGUUCAGUUUUGUUUUUUUUU
rnacentral:snRNA from 1 species